CCGGUCGGCCCCCAUAUCCACACAUCCUUCCUCCUCCCUUAUCACCUGCCUCUCUCCUCCGCCCUCAAGAUAAGACUGCCAUUGCCAGAGUCUCGUUGGGAUGCCAAACAUUGUCAUUUUGGCAAUCUGUUUGCUCUUUGAUCUGAACUUAACUUGGGGAUAACUGGAAAGUUGAUACGGUGGCUGAGGAAGGAAGGAAGACGGAGUGGGUACUGGUAUUGGCAACGGUGGCUGAAGCUCUAAUUUACGGUGAGGCAGAGGGUGGAGAAAAUGAUGAAAAUCUAUUUAGGGGCAUCUGUGUUCUUCUAGAACCCCCCUUUGUCUGUUCCCGAGCUAUCAAAUCAAGCAAGGUGGUCCCUUCUACAAGCUUACAAUAUGCUCAAAUGGCAUAAAAAUGCACACCGAGCUGCAGUUAAAGCUUUAGAAAGCCGAAGUGGUCUUAGCGUUGUAAUUAGGACUAUUGAGGAAGCAAUGUCAACAAAUAAGUGAGCAGCGGUAACUUCACGAAAAAUGGCUUCUUCCCACAUUGGGCGGAGCACAAGAGAUUGAACAUGUAAUUGGUGUAAGAAAGGCCUCCGAAAUGCAGUCAUUUUAGGUGACACUAGGCUAUUCCUCGCGAACAAUUCGGAUCUACGGUGGACACAAACAAUUGUCUUUCAACAAGUAGGUG